rnacentral:tRNA from 1 species
AAGAUAUUAGUAAAAUCAUUACAUAACUUUGUCAAAG